GUAUGUUUAGUUGGGGGAAAACAUUUUACGUUUUCCUGUGUUUGGUUCGCCUAAAACUCGAGGUCAACGUAUUUUAUUUUCCGGUCAACGGAAAACUUGAAGGAAAACACGGUAAAAUAACUUACCGUUUGGAAAAGGGUAAGUUGUUUUCCAUCGUUCUGCAACUCCCUUGCUCCACACAGAAAACAAAUCGUUCUCCCGUCCCUUGCUCCACACCGUAAAAUCGAUCGAUCCAGUGGCCUCCUUCUCACCGGCGAGGCGGACAGUCGUCUUCUCAGAAAUCAAAAACCGAGCUUUUAGCCCAGUUUUUCAAGGAUUUCGUCGACUUCGAGUCUGAUGGAGGCUCAAGAAUUCGGGGAAAUGAUGGAGCAUGUGGAGAGGUUAAUUUCGCGCUCGAUGGCUUAAAGAAAGGCCAGCCGGUGAGGAUCAGGAGAGCUAGUCUCUUGUCUUUGCUUUCGAUUUGCGCCACUCUCCCACAGAGGAGACUGCUGAGAACUCAUGGGCCGAGGAGAAGAUGCGGGUGGCUUAUGACAGGAAAUGUCGUUAAGUUGAAACGGCUAGACGAAAGGGGUGCUGAAGCAAACAAAAUUGAUUCAACCCGGCAUAUGAUCAAGAGCCUAUCCACAAAUAUAAGAAUUGCAAUUCAAGUUGUUGACAAGAUAUUUGUGACAACUAAUAAGAUCAGAGAUGAGGAGCUAUGGCCUCUGCUCAAUGAACUGAUUGAAGGGUUAAACAUAAUGUGGAAACGCAUGCCUGAAUGCCAUCGUAGUCAAUGUCAGGUGAUUACAGAAGCCAAAAGUUUAGGUUCUAUUGGACCCGGCAAAAAGCUUAGCGAUGAUCAUCUUAAUGCCACUUUGCAGCUCGAACAUUAACUUAUUAGUUGGACUGUAAGGUUCGCUAGUUGGAUAGGUGCCCAGAAUGGUUAUGUCAGGGCUUUGAACAUUGCAAAUGUGUUAUCAUGCAUUGUAGAAUAUCUGGUUUUGAAUUGUCAUGACCAGGUUGAUCUCAUGAGAUAUUUCACUUAGAUGUCAUGUUUUGUUUUUGUCAUAGUUGUUCCCAGCUUGACAGAGAACAGCUUCUAUGAGUACAGAUUCUGUGUGUUUUACAUCUUGACAGCUGAAAU